GCCACACCAGGCCGUCCGUCUCAAUGUGCAGAGCCAGGCUCCGCCUGUUCUCUCCCAGGAAGAGUACUCAUUGCUAAUGCAGAUCACAUUCGGCCUUGAAGUGAUCAUUCCAGUAAUACAUUACAUAUUGCCUGAAUACAUUCUACUAACUCUGAAGUCAGUGUCUCUGUGCUGCUGAAUAUAAAUAGCCUCAUUUUUAAAUGGGCAAAACCUCUUUUAACUAAGGGGAGACAGUAGAGAUCAGAAAAGGAGCAUGGGAUCAAUUCGAAGCCCCAAACCUAAACAUCACUCACCUGAAGUGGUUAAUGUGUCAGAGGAACGGAGGUUGCAAUGAUGUGCUGGGGUCCCACCCCCAGUGGUUCUCCUGUGGGCCUGAACAUCAUCAGUGUGCUCUGAGCCAUGAAAAGCCACGUUUACUCUUGUGUGAUAAUAUAAAGAAUAACCGACAAAUUGAUUGGUUGUAGGUAAUCACCCCAUCCAGGGGGUCCAGUCUGUCCCAUGGGAUGUCAGAACAGGGCCCCCAGAAGUCCCUGCCACAUUCAGAGCUAGCUCAGACAGGACAGAAUGUGGUUGUAGCUAGGAGCUAUCGAGGGUUUAUCACUGCCACCCCACACCUGACCUAGAAGGGACUCACAGAGACCCAGGAGGCUCUGCCACCAGCACGUUCUUUGUGAGACAGAUGUUUGCCUCUGGGACUCUGAGAUUCCAGGUAGAUAUUGAUAAAUGUGCAUGCUUGUACAACACACAAGCCAUCCUGAUUUUCAAAGAUUGGUCAAGUGAAGGGUUGGCCAAGAGCUGAGCUCUUCUGGUGGGAAUCCUCCUGUGCUCAACAGCUAGAAGACUGGUUGAGUUGUAGGGUGUAGGGGCUUGGCGCCCACGUCCAGAGUCUUCACAGCCCUUGGAGGAGCACACCUGUUUCCAGUGAACACUGUUUAAAGGGGCUUCCCAGUUUUACGAAAUGAAAGCCACCCACCAGGAAUGUUUGAUUACCACUGAUAAGCAUUUCAUGUGCAUUUUCACCAGUUCUCCAGACAUUCCCUGUUGUCUCCAGAAACUUUUAAAAAAUCUCUUGCACCUCUCCUUGUAGCUUGGUACACAGAAGCUACUGAAAGUCUAGUAGAUUUCCACAGGCUGCCAAAGUCCCAUGUGGCCCAAAUGAUUUCCCCAGUAAGUCCUCUCGUGAAGAUCUGGAAGAGGGCAGCAGUUAGCUCGGGCAUCCCUUGAAAUUAUUAGAAUGAAUUGCUUUGUGGACAGGGGGGUGUGAGGGACAUCAGAUAUGAUGGUUUCAUAAGCUUGUUAAAUUGUUGGAUAUAAAAAUGAGUAGCAGUUCAGAGUAUUUAAACCUA